rnacentral:lncRNA from 10 species
GUUUCCUGGAGACCCAGGGUUCGCACAUUGCCGCGGGGAAGAGGUCGAGGAGAAAUCUCCACGGAGACUCAUGGCCUGGGAAACCCCGGGGCAUCUCUAGCCCCGCUCCGCCCACCCUGACCCGCACCGUCCCGACCAGCUGCGUCUCGGGCGCCGCCUCCCAUGAGCCGCUCUCGCCUGGGCACCGCCCCACCUCGCCCUUCCCACUCCACUGUGCUCAAGAGUCCCUCCGGAGAUGGGGCCUUAUUAGGUUGCCCAGACUGGUCUUGAACUGCUGGAGCCAAGUGAUCCUCCUGCCCUAACCCUAACCCAAAGUGCGGGGAUUACAGGCAGGAGCCAACGUGCUUGGCCAGACUCCAUGGUCUCUUACCUGGACCAGGACGAUGGCCCCACCCAGGCCCUCAGAACUGUGGGAUGAGGUGUUUGCUUCUGGCUCACCCACGAGAAAGAAACUCCCGGAAGGAAGGGACCGUGUCUGGAGCGCUCCAACUCCAGGCCCCAGACUGCAGGUAUCCCUUGCCAACAGAGCUGAGGCCAGCAGGGGAAACCAUUCCUGCCACCUGGACUAAGAAUGAGAUCCUCUUGAAAAAAACAAUAUUAAGAAGUGGGCUCUUCCCAUCACGCCACCAGAGUCCCAGGAAGCCAGGGAUGUGGGUGUCUAAUGGUCCGGGACAAGAUGAUGGGAAACUUCACAUGGAGAAGAAAAUGCCCAAGAAUGACUGAAACUGUCUGCAAGGUCCUGCUAAGGGAGCUGGCAGGUGCACCAGGUAUGGCGAGAUGCAAAGCAAGGAGCCCACUGCAUCGUUCCCUGGAAGGACAAGUGCAGAGGAGACCACAGAUGCCUGCGCAUUUAGCGGGAGUAUGGCAGUGCCAUCAUGGGGGAAAGGCUGUGUGACAAAUGGUAUG